ensembl:lncRNA
CCCUGCUUCUGCCGACGGCCGGGCUCGCCCUCGCCYCCCGGGACCCCCCGUCCGAGUGGACGGAGGGGGGGGGGUCCGAGUCGCACCGCUCCGGGGAAGGGUCCCCGCAUUUCCCCCUGCCCGGUUAUUUCUGGGGGGAUUUUGCGGCUCGCUGCUCUCUUUAGCUGCUCUUUUCCCUUCGCGUCCUUUCCGCCCGAGGUUUCCCGCUCCCUCGCGGSGUCCCGCGGGGCGAAGGUGGGCCGAGCUGAAGCAGCUUUUGCAGCGACAGAAAGUCUGUGCGUGCCCGCGCCUGCAGCCCGAGCCCGCCGCAAGGCCGACGGGCCCCGCCGCUGGUCGGGAUGGGUGCAAAGGCCCCGCAGAUGCUGCUCAAAAUGGGUGCAAAGCCCCCGCAGAUGCCGGUCGGGAUGGGUGCAAAGGCCCCGCAGAUGCUGCUCAAAAUGGGUGCAAAGCCCCCGCAGAUGCGGGUCGGGAUGGGUGCAAAGCCCCCGGAGAUGCGCGGCUUCGCUCCGGGAGCGGAGGCGCCCCGACGGCGCGGCCGCCCGCGGUCGCCGCUCCGCUCCCCGCGGCCGCAGCGGGAAAGCGGGUCCCAGAGGCGGCGAUCCCGGGCCUCUCCCCGUCCCCGGCUUCAAGGACCGGGMAUUUCUGCGGCGAGCGCUGCCCGCUGCGGUCCCCGCCGGUUCUCGUAGCCCGAGGCUGCGUGGCUCGGCCGCCUCCGCUGCAUUGCAGCCCCCCUGCACAGCCCGGCCCGCACCCGCCUUGGCGUCGGGGGGAAGAAGGACGGGGAAGCCUGGGGUAACACUUGGGGCAUCACCGGCUUUUGGAGGGUGCUGUGUUUCUCUCCUCAAAUGCACGGCAAGAUGCACCGGCCAAACUCCUCCGAGGGGCCAAACCCACCCCUGCGUGUUUAGACACCAGCCCCAGGGUUACAGGGCUGGUUUAGAGGGAGGUAUAACUCCCCCCACCCCCCCCCGGCCCUGCAGGGACCGGCCGCAAAACAAGUGUCGCUGGAAGAAACCGAACCGCGGCCCGGGAGAGAAAGUCCGGGUGUCGCAUSUCCCUGCAGGAGCGGGGGGGCCGUGCGCCCCCGCGUUGCCCGAGGUGCUGGGAGUCGGGGCGUCUGUGCACRGCCGCCCUCCCUCUGCCCUUCCUGCCCCUUAUUCCUCUCUCUCCUUCUUCCUUUYUUCCUUUCUUUCUUUCUUUCUGUCUCCCUCCUUCCUUUCCGCUCUCGCCAGACGCGCCGUUGCCGUCAGGAAUAUCCCGUUUUCCUGCGGUUUAGCAGCCAAAGCGGGCGGCCGGGCGCCCCGGCGGCGGAGCGCUGCGGGGCUGCGGGCGGCGACCCCCGGCAAACCGGUGCCGCCCGCGGCUCGGGCUACUGCUCCGAGCUGCCCCGGGCGAGCCCGGCUGGCCGAUAACCGCGGGGAUAAACGCCCCGACGGGGAGGCGGAUGGGGCAGCGAGAGCUGCCGGCGGGGCRGGGGGUGGGAAGGGGGAAGAGAGGCGGGCGGCCCUCCUGCUUGCCGCGCUGCCCAGCGCGGGUCGCACGGAGAGGGAAACUGAGGCAGGGGAGGCGCUGCCCUCCGUUUCCUGCGGCUCCCUGCACGGAGGGAAGCCGGGAAAGGCGCUUUCAGCCGGCGCUUUGCUUUGCUUUUUUGCUUUGCUUUGCUUUUUGCUUUGCUUUGCUUUGCUUUGCGGCUCCCUGUCUCCCCGCACCUGCGAAGAGACUGUGUGCGCAGGGCGGGGG